UACGUAGGUGGCAAGCGUUGUCUGGAAUUAUUGGGCGUAAAGCGCGCGCAGGCGGUCCUUUAAGUCUGAUGUGAAAGCCCACGGCUCAACCGUGGAGGGUCAUUGGAAACUGGGGGACUUGAGUGCAGAAGAGGAGAGUGGAAUUCCACGUGUAGCGGUGAAAUGCGUAGAGAUGUGGAGGAACACCAGUGGCGAAGGCGGCUCACUGGUCCGGUACUGACGCUGAGGUGCGAAAGCGUGGGGAGCAAACAGG
rnacentral:rRNA from 1 species